AUUGAACGCUGGCGGCAGGCCUAACACAUGCAAGUCGAACGAGUGGCGGACGGGUGAGUAAUGUCUGGGAAACUGCAUGAUGGAGGGGGAUAACUUCUGGAAACGGACGCUAAUACCGCAUACCAUCAGAUGUGCCCAUGUGGGAUUAGCUAGUUGGCGGGGUAACGGCUCACCAAGGCGACGAUCCCUAGCUGGUCUGAGAGGAUGAUCAGCCACACUGGAACUGAGACACGGUCCAGACUCCUACGGGAGGCAGCAGUGGGGAAUAUUGCACAAUGGGCGCAAGCCUGAUGCAGCCAUGCCGCGUGUGUGAAGAAGGCCGUCGGAUUGUAAAGUACUUUAAGCGGGGAGGCGUUACCCGCAGAAGAAGCACCGGCUAACUCCGUGCCAGCCGCCGCGGUAAUAC
rnacentral:rRNA from 1 species